GUGCUCACUUUGACAGUACAUAUACCAAACUUGGAGCAAUACAGAAAAGAUCAGCAUGUACAAGGAUGAUGUGCAAAUUCAUAAACCAUUCCAUUUAAAA
rnacentral:snRNA from 1 species